rnacentral:rRNA from 1 species
GACGUAGGGCGCGAGCGUUGUCCGGAUUUAUUGGGCGUAAAGAGCUCGUAGGCGGCUUGUCGCGUCGUUCGUGAAAACUUGGGGCUCAACCCCAAGCUUGCGGUCGAUACGGGCAGGCUAGAGUUCGGUAGGGGAGACUGGAAUUCCUGGUGUAGCGGUGAAAUGCGCAGAUAUCAGGAGGAACACCGGUGGCGAAGGCGGGUCUCUGGGCCGAUACUGACGCUGAGGCACGAAAGCGUGGGGAGCAAACAGG